rnacentral:rRNA from 1 species
GAUGAACGCUGGCGGCGUGCCUAAUACAUGCAAGUCGAGCGAACGGACGAGAAGCUUGCUUCUCUGACGUUAGCGGCGGACGGGUGAGUAACACGUGGAUAACCUACCUAUAAGACUGGGAUAACUUCGGGAAACCGGAGCUAAUACCGGAUAAUAUAUUGAACCGCAUGGUUCAAAAGUGAAAGACGGUUUUGCUGUCACUUAUAGAUGGAUCCGCGCUGCAUUAGCUAGUUGGUAAGGUAACGGCUUACCAAGGCAACGAUGCGUAGCCGACCUGAGAGGGUGAUCGGCCACACUGGAACUGAGACACGGUCCAGACUCCUACGGGAGGCAGCAGUAGGGAAUCUUCCGCAAUGGGCGAAAGCCUGACGGAGCAACGCCGCGUGAGUGAUGAAGGUCUUCGGAUCGUAAAACUCUGUUAUUAGGGAAGAACAAAUGUGUAAGUAACUAUGCACGUCUUGACGGUACCUAAUCAGAAAGCCACGGCUAACUACGUG